rnacentral:rRNA from 1 species
AUGGCCACCACGGCAGCCGACGCCACGGCCGCGGCGCCCAAGGACCAGCCCGCCAACGGUUCCGAGCAGGUCACGCGCCACUCCGAGGUCGGCCACAAGAGCCUGCUCCAGAGCGACGCCCUCUACCAGUACAUCCUGGAGACGAGCGUGUACCCGCGCGAGCACGAGUGCAUGAAGGAGCUCCGCGAGAUCACCGCCAACCACCCAUGGAACCUGAUGACGACGUCGGCGGACGAGGGCCAGUUCCUCAACAUGCUGCUCAAGCUCAUCGGCGCCAAGAAGACCAUGGAGAUCGGCGUCUACACCGGCUACUCCCUCCUCGCCACCGCGCUCGCCAUCCCCGACGACGGCACCGUAAGCUCCCUCACUUCUCCGCUCCCAGAUCCACCGCUCCCAAUUCACCAAGAAACUGAAACCGGAAUGAAACAGAUCUUGGCCAUGGACAUCAACCGCGAGAACUACGAGCUGGGGCUGCCGUGCAUCGAGAAGGCCGGCGUGGCGCACAAGAUCGACUUCCGCGAGGGCCCGGCGCUGCCGGUGCUGGACGCGCUGCUGGAGGACGAGGCCAACCACGGCACCUUCGACUUCGUCUUCGUGGACGCCGACAAGGACAACUACCUCAACUACCACGAGCGCCUCAUGAAGCUCGUCAAGCUCGGCGGCCUCCUCGGCUACGACAACACGCUCUGGAACGGCUCCGUCGUGCUCCCCGCCGACGCCCCCAUGCGCAAGUACAUCCGCUACUACCGCGACUUCGUCCUCGACCUCAACAAGGCCCUCGCCGCCGACCAGCGCGUCGAGAUCUGCCAGCUCCCCGUCGGCGACGGCAUCACCCUCUGCCGCCGCGCCAAGUGA